ensembl:lncRNA
UGGCAAGAGAAAAACAGACACACACACACACACACGCACACAAAUGAGAGCUGCAGCAGUCUGUGCAUAAACACACUCCUGCACCAGAACCAUGGCGAUGGAACUCACGGCGAUGCCUCUGGAGGCACGACACACUCGCUCACACUCUCAUCUCGCUCCAGACUGGGACAAAGGGAAGAGCACGCACAUGGUUGAUCUCUCCUUCGCCUCCCACUGCUCUUAACAGUUCCCUUCUUAGCAUUUAGCAGCAAGAGAGAAGAGGCCAGAAAACCCCCUAGGAUACCUACAGUCCCUCGCAGAGAAAGAGAGGAGAGCAAAGAGUGCAGAAGAAACCUGGAGCAAAGAAAAUGUUCUGGCGCUUAGAGAACGGCCAUUGACAGACGAGUACCUCAUGUUAUUGAAAACACAAAAGGUAACAUGGUGGUCAAAGGUGUAGAUGACAGAACCAUUGUGUAUCAGGAUUACACUUUUACAUUUUACAUGAGAAAUAAAGGACCUGCUAAAAGUGUGCAAGCUGAAUUAGAGAAACACAAAUAAUGUCUUUUGUUGGCUUGGCAACUGUCAAGUCCCUCCAGAAAUCUCUUCAUUCGGUGCAUUUUGUGCUUUACACUGUACUAAGGCAUACUUUGUUUUGUAGGAAAAUACUACCAACCUGCUUUGCCUCUUACUGGAUUUCCAUGUCAUUCUGAAAUGAAAAAUCUGACAUACUUACUGAUUAUGACACAUGUAGUGAUGUGACCUAUCACGCAAAAAAAUGUUUUUUGUUUAUACAGCAUGUCACAGGUUUUUGGUGCAUUGAAGUGCCUCAGGGUGUUCUCCCUCUCUCUCUCUCUCUCUCUCUCUCUCUCUCUCUCUUCUAUCUCUCUCUCUCUCUGUUGUUGGCUGGGUAGUUGUCACUCACAGGCAGAUGCUGCUCCCCGCUGGGUCAGAUGACUUCGCUGUUGACUGGCACGGCUCCGGGAGCAGUGGUACACUUUGGGCAGGUGCGAUCUGAGAGCUUCACCAACAGUUUCCCAGAAGCCGGCUGUCACCUAAGCACUUGUUUAGUGGAUGCUGUCUCUUCUAAUGCUGCAUGAUUGUGAGGGGAUUGUGGAAUGGGAUUUUGUUUGCUCUGCAUUUGAAUCAGCAGAAAGAAGCUGAUCCAACAGCCCUUCCUGUCUUUGUAGUACUCUGACAAUUUAAUCCGCCGCUCGCCCUCUUAUGUAAGGGAGUAGCUCACAUAUUGAUAAUCCCAGGUCAUAGUUGGCUGCCACCGCUCUCAAAGUACCAGUCUCGCAGACCUCUGGCACUGCGCAGCAGGACAAUGCUGACACGCAGUCCAUGAACACAGCUAGGUACACUGCAUGGCGCCAUGGAGGUUUGUGUCUAAAGAGCUCUAAAAGAUUGUGAUGAAGGGCCGGGGUCAGAGAUCCGUUGAUGUAGAGGAGCUGCUUCGGCAGUCUCAGGGGGAGUUGCUGUGGAUACAGAGACAGCUGUCAAUCAUCUCAGCGAGAAAUGCUCGGCACACACGGGCUAAAGACAGGCUGAGACAUGAAGUGGCGCCGCAGCAAGUCCCCACCCUCUCACCUCAGAAUGUGAAUCUCUGUCAGCUGCUUGAGGACAGAAACCGAGCCCUGAAGCGUGAGCUGGCCACCCUCAAGCAGGAGAAACAGCACUACAAGUCCCUGGAGGCAGAGGUCAGAGAGAGAGGGGCCAAGUGCCGAGCGCUAGAGAAGGAAGUGAAGAAUAAAUGCCUUACAUGUCAGACUUUGGUAAGUUUGGGAAGACAACAGUGUUUUCUGUACAUGUUUAAGAUUGAGCCAUGAGACUGCAUCACAACAAUCAGACUACCCAUUAUAACACUGAAGAACAGUACGACUUAUACUAUACACUGUGUGAGAAUCAUGUCUUGAAAAAAAGGAGAGUAAAGAAAUUGAUGUAGAGACACAUAAAACAAUAAUGUCUUCUUUCAUAACAAUAUUACCAUAUUAGCAACAAAUAAUGUAACCCGUUACACAUACAAUCUGGGUAAUAUUGAUACAGUUACUAUGUCAUGUUUCUUUCAAAGUCUGAUUAGGUGGUUGUUUUUCCAAGCUUUUAUCCUCUGCCUCCACUUGUUUUCAGUGUUUUAAGGCUCAAGUUUAUAUGACUGAUUGUUGCUUCUUAGGACAGAGUCAGACUGUAGGCCAUGUACAGUACAUUGAUAAGUUGUGUAAGGAUUUGAUCUCUCUCUCUCUCUCUUGAACCCAGUGUAGUAGUGAUGCACAGGUUGAACCACGGUUACUAUUUUGUUCACUGUUUAGACAUGUCAGAAAUGUAAAAGGAUAUGCAUUGCGUGCGCAUGUGUGUACAUGAGAAAGAGAGAGAGAGUUUGGGUCUUAAAUCAAGGGUUACUUGUUUUGUUGCUAUACAACAAUACAGAACCCCGUUUGGAACAGUUUGUUUAUAUAUUUGGUAGCCUAGACCCAGAUGCUAUUAGGCUGGGACACAAUAGGCCUUACCUUGCAAUCAAUGUAUAAUUAUACUAAUGUUUGCUGUAACCUAGCAAUCAGUGGUGCCUUGUGCGAAACCUUGUUACCAUAGCUAGUUUCGGUAAUGCAUUUUUUGGAUACUGUCCAGUCCUUUUUGAAACAUGCACCAAAUAAGAAACCAUUAUCUCUUACUACAUGAUAUGGGGGCCAGGGGUGCUAUCAGUUCUAAUUAAAGUUAGUGGUUUGUGCGUCGGGUCGGAUUGGGUCGUGUUUGGGUGGUAUAUUUUUGUGGGUUGGGCGGUGUGGAGUGUAGACUGUAGACUGAGUUUAGAUAUGAAGAUAAGUGUAAUCCUACAUCCUUGAUCAGUCACAGCAAUUCUGUCUAUUGCUUAUCUUAGUAAUAAUGAUUGGUGGGAAUCAUUUCAUAAAAUAAAACCAUGGAAGUUUGUUUCAUCCUAGCAGACAUAAAGGUUUGAUGAAAAAGCAUUUGUGGCAAUUGUCGAUAUUCCUUUUAAUUUACCCUCCGUGGAUUACUCCAGUGCUUUGCUUAUUCAUUUAAGCUUGUCCUAUUUCAUAUGCUUCCCAAGUGAAAGUGAUAUUGCAACAUAUCCUAUUACUUAAGUUUGCAAUGAUAACUAAUAUGCCAUUUAUUACGUCUUACAAAGUAACCCAACCAAGACUGCUGAUAGGAUUAUCAUAGCAAAGCAUAUCUUUAUGCAUCUGAAAAUGCACCUCUAUUGCUACCAUUUCAAACCACUCACUUCUCAUCUGUCUGAGUGUCCUUGGAGGGGCACAGUUUAUGUCCCCAGUUUGAGGGCUCCUGCAUGCAUCUCUGUAAAUGGGGGUCACAUGUCCCCGUAGCCCCUGGGAGGUCCACACCCGCCAUGUGCUGUGUCCCUAGGGCCUGUGUAGGGGGGAGAGGGGAGCCACGUCUCCUGGAAAUGUUAAUCUAAUCUGACUGCAACACCGGUUUCCCCUUCGCCAAGCCUUCCUACCAUAGCCUUGGAAAUCUGUGGGAUUCUCAUCCCUGCUUAGUGAACAGGCCUUUUAAUGUUCAACCACCAUUGUGUUUGGUUUUAAAAUAGCCUGUACUGGGGAAAAAACGACAUUUUUCUUUGUGGUUUAGACAUUGUGUGGAAUUAAAAUAAGUCAGGGAUUGGUAAGAAGCAAGGAGAGUUGAAAUGUUAAAAGCAUGAGACUUGCAGACUCGAAAAAUAACACACAAUUUAUGAUGUAAUAUUAAUAAUAGUAGCCCAUCCUAAUAGCCCAAACUUUAUUGUUAGUGAGGUUUAUAAAAGUACAAAAGCCACUGUCUGGCUCGAUGUCACUCAAAAGUAUGUUCAUAUCAUAUGUUUUUUGUUGUCUAUCUAGCUUAAUGCAGUGGAAAUAAAAAAAAAAGUCUGGGAGCCCUCUCCAUCUGGUGCUCCAAACAAGUCCAGUCAUGCGCUAUAGUCAACAAAGCACAUUUAAAAGAAGGAAAGAAGCCUGAAUCAUCCUCAAGAGCACCCAGCUCAGCUUCAGCCUUGUGACUCAGCUCCCCGCCCAGGCUGUGGCUAUGUGGGGCCUCUAUGUGCUGGCGAAGGGUGCAGUCAACUGGUUCUGGGGUGUCUUCCCUGAAAGUGGUGCUGAGCAACUUCCAUGGUUAAAUGAUGGUUUAAGUAUUUAGUAGUUUAAGUAUUUGGCACACGCUUUCGUCCAAAGUGACUCACAAAACAUAAAAAAGACAUUAGAAAACAGAUAAAUAUGAAAAUAAAAUGAAAAAAAAAAAAUAGAGUUAGCCUCAAGCAAAUUAAAUAAAUAGACAGGUGAUCUAGGUGGCACUAGGUAGGUCAUUCCACCACCGAGGUGCCAUGAACGAAAAGAGUCUUGACUGCGAUCUCUUGCUGUGAAGAGACAGCAAAGACAAGAAACACCCAUCAGAGGGGCACAUGUAGUCAAGAGGGGGAAUAGAGUUGAAUCAUAGCAUUUAAAUAAGCAGGUGCCGAUCCAGUGGCUGUCCUAUAAGCCAGAGUGAGGGAUUUAAAUUUAAUUCUAGCUGCUAGAGGGAGCCAGUGAAGGGUGACCAGCAGAGGAGUUUCAUGUGUCCUCUUUGGCUGAUCAAAGACCAAAUGUGCCACGGCAUUCUGAAUCAUCUGCAACGGUCUCACUACACAUGCAAUCACGCCUGUUAAAAUCGCAUUGCAAUAGUCUAGUUUAGACAUAACCAGGGCCUGCACAAUAAGUUGUGUAGCAUAUUAUGUGAGAUAGGGUUUGAUCUUCUGGAUAUUAUAGAGUGUGAACCGACAGGACUUUGAGACAGAAGCUGUAUAUUUAGUUGGGGUCAAUGAAGAUGAACCGAGCUGGAUGUUAAUAUUUUGUGGGAUAGCUGGGUUGGCUGGGAAUACGAGGAGGUCAGUUUUCAAAAGAUUGAGCUGAAGGUGACGACCCAUCAUCCAAGCUGAAAUAUGAGGCAUUCAGAAAUUCGACCCAAUAUUGUGGAGUUGUCAUCAUGGGGUAAAGACAAGUACAGUUAAGUUUCAUAUGCAUAACAAUAAUAGGAAUAACCCAUGGGAGCGAAUUAUCUCACCUAAGGAAGUGAUGUAAAUAGAUAAUAGGAGGUGUCCAAGUACCGAUCCUUGAGGUACGCCAGUGGAGAGUUGGUGAAAUGUUGGUACUUGUCCCUGAAUGAACGUCCACUGAGGUAAGAUUCAAACCAACUGAGUGCUUUCCCUAAAAAUUCCAAGUUCAGACAGCGUCGAGAGGAUGAUGUCAUAGUUCACUGUGUUAAAGGCUUGUUAAAGACUAGUAGAAUCAGAACUGAUGACUGAGCAGAGGCCUUUGCUACUCUCAAUGCUUCAGUCACGGAUAAGAGCAGUUUCAGUAGAAUGACCACUCUUAAAACCAGACUGCUAAGGGUCUAGCAAAUUAUUCAGAGACAGGAAAUCAGAAACUUGCUUGAAGACAACCCUUUGAAGAAUCUUUGACCAAAAAAGGAAGAAGGUCUAUAAUUCUUCUCAUGAGAAGGGUCAAACUUUCUUUGGCAAAGGAAUAACCCAGGCCUGUUUGAAUGAUGUAGGAAAGUUUCCCAAACUGAGUGAAGCAUGACUACAUGCAUGAUGGCAGGUACAAUUGUAGGAGAGAUAGACAGGGAAGGGUGGUUGGAAUGGGGUCCAGGAGACAUGUUGUAGGAUGACUCCAUUUCAAACCUGUUUAAGAGGAUUGGAGAAUUGCGCACUAAUGGUGGUAACUUUUUCAUUAAAGAAAGUUACAAAAUCAUCGGCAGAGUGGGAGAAGACUGAUGGUGGAGGGUUAAGGAGAUUCUUCAAAGUAGAAAAAAGUUUCCUGCUGUCUGUGGCAUUGUCAACCUUUUACUUGUAGAACGCCUUUUUAGCAGCUGUGACUGUAAAAGAAAAGGCAGAUAGCAGAGACUGAUAGUUAUGAAGUUCACUGGCAUCUCUGGAUUCACACCAUUUUCUCUCAGCAGCUCUAAGUUCCUUUUACGAAGGUUUACGAGAGUUUACGAAUACUAUCAGUAAAGUGAUGGGUGACGGGGUUUCGUACGAGCAGGUCUUGUGGAUAGAGAACAUACGUUAUCCAGACAAGAGCUCAGUGUAGAGCAAAGAGUCUCCAUAGCUUCAUUAACCUCUAGUGAUGAUAAUGAACUUUGAGUAGGUAGAUUAGAUGCAACCAAGGAGGAGAACUCACUGCUUGAGAGACUUCUGAGGUUAUGACGAAACAAAGCCACAGGAGGAGGCACAGUAGGAUGUUCCAGGAGACACACAGAGAAUCUAAUAAAGUAACGGUCAGACUCAUGUUGUGGAGAGACCAUUAGCUUUUCUGAAGUACAAUUGCACAAUAGAAUAACAUCUAGAUCCUUACGAGUCUUAUGAGUAGGAAGGCUGUGAACACGUUUGAAAUUGAAUUAUCGAGUAGAGACAAGAAGUCUUCUGAAUGCGAAUUGUCUGUACAAAUAUUCAUAUCUCAGAGAAUUAGUAACGGAGAGACAAUCAUUUUGAACACUCUCUCUCCACGGUUACCACAGUGGUUGCUCACCUACGCCUUCGGGACAGACAGUCCUGGGCAGAGCCUGGAUAGUGUGAGCCUGUGGCUCAAUGCCUCAAAUGACCAUCAGGAA